GAUUCUUUUUUAUCUCCGGAUCGGGUAUUUCUGAAGUACAAAGGGGUUAUAUCAUGGCGGAUUGGUGAAUUAUUGGGCCGAGCU
rnacentral:tRNA from 1 species